UUCCAGCUGACGAGUCCCAGUUAGGACGAAACUUGUGUCCUGUAU
rnacentral:hammerhead_ribozyme from 1 species